GACGAACGCUGGCGGCGUGCUUAACACAUGCAAGUCGAACGGAAAGGCCCUGCUUUUGUGGGGUGCUCGAGUGGCGAACGGGUGAGUAACACGUGAGUAACCUGCCCUUUACUUUGGGAUAACUUCAGGAAACUGGGGCUAAUACCGGAUAGGAGCUCCUGCUCCAUGGUGGGGGUUGGAAAGUUUCGGCGGUUGGGGAUGGACUCGCGGCUUAUCAGCUUGUUGGUGGGGUAGUGGCUUACCAAGGUUUUGACGGGUAGCCGGCCUGAGAGGGUGACCGGCCACAUUGGGACUGAGAUACGGCCCAGACUCCUACGGGAGGCAGCAGUGGGGAAUAUUGCACAAUGGGCGGAAGCCUGAUGCAGCAACGCCGCGUGCGGGAUGACGGCCUUCGGGUUGUAAACCGCUUUCGCCUGUGACGAAGCGUGAGUGACGGUAAUGGGUAAAGAAGCACCGGCUAACUACGUG
rnacentral:rRNA from 1 species